CGGCCGGCGGUCCUCGUGCGGCGGCGGUAUAGGAGCGAGCGCCACGGCGAGCAGGUCCAGCCGAGAGCUACCGCCGUCCGCCGCUCGCUGCCUCCGCACCGCCGCCGCCCCCGGCCUGCCCGUCAGCAAGCGGGUGAGCGGCCUCCACGCUCGGCCUCCGGGAGGGGGCCGUCCGGCCGGACCCUGAGCCUCGCCCUCUCUCGCUGCGGCCGACCGCGCCUCCUCGGCCGCCUGCCCGGCAUGAAGACCAAGUUCUGCAACGGGGGCGAGGCGGAGCCCUCGCCGCUCGGGCUGCUGCUGAGCUGCGGCAGCGGCAGCGCGGCCCCGGGGCCCGGCGUGGGGCAGCAGCGCGACGCCGCCAGUGACCCGGAGCCCAAGCAGCUGGGCGGGCGGCAGCCGCCGCUCGCGCUGCCCCCGCCGCCGCCGCCGCCGCUGCCGCUGCCCCCGCCGCCGCCGCCGCCGGCGGACGAGCAGCCCGAGCCCCGGACGCGGCGCAGGGCCUAUCUGUGGUGCAAGGAGUUCCUGCCCGGCGCCUGGCGGGGCCUCCGCGAGGACCAGUUCCACAUCAGUGUCAUCAGAGGUGGCCUCAGUAACAUGCUGUUCCAGUGCUCCCUACCCGACACUCUGGCCACCGUUGGUGACGAGCCUCGGAAAGUGCUCCUGCGGCUGUACGGGGCGAUUUUAAAGAUGAGGUCCUGUAAUAAGGAGGGAUCCGAACAAGCUCAGAAAGAAAAUGAAUUUCAAGGCGCCGAGGCCAUGGUUCUGGAGAGCGUCAUGUUCGCCAUCCUCGCGGAGAGGUCGCUGGGGCCGAAGCUCUUCGGCAUCUUCCCCCAAGGCCGCCUGGAGCAGUUCAUCCCGAGCCGGCGGCUAGAAACCGAGGAGCUGAGUCUGCCGGAUAUUUCUGCAGAAAUAGCCGAGAAAAUGGCACGGUUUCAUGGCAUGAAGAUGCCGUUCAAUAAGGAACCAAAGUGGCUUUUUGGAACAAUGGAAAAGUACCUGAACCAAGUACUGAGGAUUAAGUUUCCCGGGGAGUCCAAAGCCAAGCCGCUCCGCAGGUUCCUCAGUUACAAUCUGCCAUUGGAGCUGGAACGCCUGCGGUCGUUACUUGAAUCCACUCCAUCGCCAGUCGUGUUUUGUCACAACGACUGUCAGGAAGGCAAUAUCCUGCUGCUGGAAGGCAGGGAGAACUCCGAGAAGCAGAAACUCAUGCUCAUCGACUUCGAGUACAGCAGCUACAACUACAGGGGAUUCGACAUUGGGAACCAUUUCUGCGAAUGGAUGUACGACUAUAACUACGAGAAGUACCCUUUCUUCAGAGCCAACAUGCUGAAGUACCCGUCCAGGAAGCAGCAGACAGACGUCGUCUUGUGGGCACCGCAGUUCAGUAGCUGUUGCCGCGUAACACCCGGUUUCCCGCCCUGAGCUGCGGCAGUCUCCCCCGAGGACCCCCCUCCAGGCCUUGGGUUGAGGAUAAGGAGGCAGCGAUGCAGAAGCAGCUCCAUUUUAUUUCCAAUUACUUGGCCGCAUUCCAACACGAGUCUGAAGACCCCAGCGACGAGGAGAGGUCCGCGAUCGAAGAAGGCAUGUUGCUUGAGGUCAACAGGUUUGCCCUUGCGUCCCAUUUCUUCUGGGGACUUUGGUCCAUCGUACAGGCCAAGAUUUCAUCCAUUGAAUUUGGGUACAUGGAGUACGCCCAAGCCAGGUUCGAGGCCUAUUUCGACCAGAAGAGGAAGCUGGGGGUGUGACCUGGGAGGCCUCGUGCCCCUCCCCCCUGGACUGCGUGGGGGCGGCUGAGCCUGCGGGGUCGCUCUGUGCUCCGACUACUGCACCUGCGGCAAGAAGGCUCGGACGUCUCGCCGCCCACACAGAUGUGUGCGCGACCAAGCCUGUAUUAAAUGAAGUAACAAUUAUUUCCUGUCUUGUGUGCGGCUUCACUAGGACCCUGGCACGAAUCGGGAAGCAGAGUCAGAGCACACUAGUGCAGUAGUGCAACAGCUCAGACUCCUCACCCAGAGGAGGCGCUCCUGGGUCGGGCAGACCUGGCAGACGGCAGGAGCGGAGUCGUGCUGCAGGUGCCUCGUCUGCUUGAGGACCGUUCAAGGACUUGAACGAACGUGCAGGCGAACGCCACUGACCAGGCUCUCCGGGUGUAGACGCCGCUCGCCCCCGCAGGCAGGCGGCGAGGGGCACACAGACUGACGCUGCUCCGCGGCCUUCCGGGGUCCCCCGCAGCUGCUCGCUCUCCUCGGUCGGGGGCGGAUGCAGACCGCCGGCGGUGCGGGCGCCACUGCCGCCUGCGCGGGAGGGAUGGACGCGGCUCUUCAGCGCUUGUCUCUCUGUUCCGUUAUGCGGGCGACUCGCCUCAGCUGGACGCAAGCCCUGCCUGCCCUCCAGCGGGAUGUGCUCUAUAACCCCGCCUUCGAGGCAGGCAGCGCCCUGGGGCGCGUGGACUCCUGCCCCUGUGCCACCUGCAUUCCUUCCGCUUUGUCCUGCUCUCUGCAGCCUCCCCUCCACCUCUGCUCAGCCCGGAGCAGGGGGUCCUGUGACAGCGCUGGCGGCCCGCCCCGGGACAUCAGCCCGCCCCAGGGCCCCUCAGAAGCCUCCCGCUGCCCCUGGCGCUGGGGCCCUGGUGUGCCCGGCAGCCCUGGUGGCCAGCUGUCGCUGCCCUCGCCACUCCCUGAGGUCCCGCACGUGGUCAUAUGGCAAACGGCAGCCUGGAUGUGGACCGUGGGGUCUGGGUGGGGGGUAACUGUGAAAUCCAUGUUCCGUGAAUGCUCUCCUUUCCUUUUUUUUACUUAUUUGAAUUGUUUUCUGUGCAUACAUUUCUGCUACCACAGACUGUACUAUAUAAACAAUAAAAAAAUAAAAGCCCAUCCUUGCUGUCA